GCUCCUGUCGCUCAGCGGUUAGAGCAGGCGGCUCAUAACCGUUAGGUCGCGGGUUCGACACCCGCCAGGAGCA
rnacentral:tRNA from 1 species